rnacentral:rRNA from 1 species
AGAGUUUGAUCCUGGCUCAGGAUGAGCGCUGGCGGUGUGCCUUAGGCAUGCAAGUGGAACGCCCCGCCGCAAGGCGGGGAGUCGCGAACGGGUGCGUAACGCGUAGGAACGUACCUUCAAGAGGAGAAUAGCCUCGCGAAAGCGAGGGUAAUACUCCAUAAUAUCGUAAGAUUAAAGGGUGUAACUACCCGCUUGAGGAGCGGCCUGCGUCCUAUCAGCUAGUUGGUGGGGUAAUGGCCUACCAAGGCUUUGACGGGUAGCUGGACUGAGAGGUCGGUCAGCCACAAGGAGACUGAGACACGGCUCCUACGUCUACGGACGGCAGCAACCAGGAAUAUUGGGCAAUGGGCGAAAGCCUGACCCAGCGACACCGCGUGGAGGAUGAAGGCCUUCGGGUUGUAAACUCCUCAAUUCCAAGCGACAGCGAGGAAGGAUUAAGCACCUACAAACUACGUGCCAGCAGUCGCGGUGAUACGUAGGGUGCAAGCGCUAUCCGGAUUUACUGGGCGUAAAGCGUUUCGUAGGCGGUUUUCUAAGUCUGAGCUUAAAGACUGAGGCUCAACCUCGGAAAAGGCUUAGAUACUAGAAAGCUAGAGGGAAGAAGGGGAUGCUGGAAUUUGCGGUGGAGCGGUGAAAUGCGUUGAUAUCGCAAGGAACACCGAGGGCGAAGGCAGGCAUCUGGGAUUCUCCUGACGCUGAGGAACGAAAGCUAGGGGAGCGAAAGGGAUUAGAGACCCCUGUAGUCCUAGCCGUAAACUAUGUCUGCUAGAUAUUCCUUUGCUUAUAACGGAGAGUGUCGUAGCUAACGCGUUAAGCAGACCGCCUGGGGAGUACGGCCGCAAGGUUGAAACUCAAAGGAAUUGACGGGAAGGCGCACAACCAGUGGAGCGUGUGGUUUAAUUCGAGACGAAACGAAAGACCUUACCUGGGCUUGACAUCCCGCCUAUGCAAGGUCCGAAAGGACCAAGCUUAGUGGCGGGAAAGCUGCUGCAUGGCUGUCGUCAGCUCUAGGCGUGAGCUGUAGGCUUAAGUGCCUCAUAGAGCGCAACCCCCACCUUGUGUUAAAUUUUCUCACUGGGAACAGCCCUGCCUUAUUGGCAGGGAGGAAGGAGGGGAUGACGUCAAGUCAGCACGGCGCUUAUGUCCAGGGCCACACACACACUACAAUGGACAAUAACAACGAGUUGCGAGCGGGUAACCGUAAGCUAAUCUCUGAAAUUUGUCCUCAGUUGGGAUUGAGGGCUGCAACUCGCCCUCAUGAACUCGGAAUUGGUAGUAAUCGCGGAUCAGCAUGCCGCGGUGAAUACGUUCUCGCCUUUUGUACACACUGCCCGUCAAGUCAACAAAGUCAGGGGUGCCCGAAGACUCCGCAAUUACUGUUGGGGUUGAAGGCAAACUUGGCGAUGGGGGCUAAGUCGUAACAAGGUAACC